AAAAUAUUUUUCAAACUCCACAGCAUUGAUUAUCAAAACAGCAACGAUUUAAAGAACGGUGUAAAAAUCGCGUUAGCAGUUCUGGUGCGAGACACAGUCUAUGAGGGAAAAGGAAACGGCCCGCUUUUCUUAGAUUUCUUGUGCGGUGCAUUUAACUACCAACUUACAAAACACUUCGAGAAUAAUCGAGUCCGGGGUCAAGACGUGGGGACAAUUCCAGCUCUUACCGCUACAUUGACAUCCAUGGCACCGAGUGACAAAGAAGUGCAUCUGUUAUGGAUGGAGUCAAGAAACGAUACACCUGGUAUGUGUAGAAUUCUCCGAUUGAUAACAGACAAAUACACGAACGACGAUAAGGGCCCAUGUGUUACUUAAGACAGUAUAUGGGAUACUCUUAUAUACAUAAGUUACAAAUUACAUUUAUUAUAAUGUUAGCUUUCUAAUGAUAAUCAUGCUCUCCAAAUGUAGGGUUUAUAAUGUAUGUGUGUGCGUGUUUUCAAAUACAUAUAAUCUAUUUUGACAUACCAGAAUUAUAGUGUUUUGGAAGACCGAUCAUACGCAGUACAUAUUUGAUAUAUAUUCUGAUUGGUCGAAAUAGAAAUAGUUAACGAAAAGAAAGGAACAGUAGUGAACAUGACUGUGUAAAUACGAGCAGUAAAAAGAUACAAAAACAAAGAGGCCCGUCCAGUGAGAAUCAGAUUUCGGACUUUUCUUCCUCUGUUAGUGACUUACUUGGAUAUACAAACUCUGUGUUAUACGGCGAGGAAGACGUUGAAGUAACGCAUACUAGUGUUUUUGGAAACAACCAGGAAGCAUACGAUCCACCGAAGGUUAACACCAUGGCGGCAGCGCAGCCAACAUAACAUGACGUUGAAGUUUGCUCGAAGGCAUAAGUUGACGACGCACUGUAGUCGAACACAAACUACAAUGUCUUGAUAAGAUGGACCACCGCAUGGCUCUUGACGAUAGAGUCAAAACGGUUGCAGAGCACGUUUUCAAGCUCGACCAUAUCUCCGAGAGGCGGAUAUUGCAGCCGCACAGGUUAGAAGUAGGUUAGAUGAUCUUGAGCGUGAGCGUAAUAGUCUUCGUGACGAUUUGACGUACAUGAACGCUCAAAGCCUGAGAAAUAACCUUGAAUUUACUGGUGUACCGGAAACAGAGAACGAAACACAUGAGACAACCGACAAGAUUCUGAGAAAACAUUUGAGCGAUGCCCUCAAAAUUGUUCAGGAAACUGCGGACACUAUCAGGUUUUAGAGGGUCCAUCGAUCGCCUGCGGAACACACACGUGGAAAGGUUAUUUCUACAAAUUCGCGUUUUGCGAUUAUAAUAUAGUGACCAACUCAGAACGGGUUUAAAAGAAGGUCGUCCAAAAUGUGUCACAUCAAAGUUACAUACAUGUAUCAGUAUCGUUAUGGUAAAACGUGUCAAAUGUCAUUGUAUUAAAUAAACAAUUCAUA